GAUCAUUGGAAGAGGAAUUGUCCUGCUUAUAUAGCCAUCCUUGACCAAAACAGGCCUAAGAAUAAGAGAAAGAAGCAAACGGUUGCUUCACAAGGUACUUGUAUGAUAACUCAUUGUAAUUUUUCUAUUUGUGAUACUAUUAUCUGAAUAUUGGAUAUCAAAAGUCUGAUUAAUGUAUGCAAUUUGUUGCAGAGACUGCAGGUAAGUAGAAAGUUUCGAGAGGGCGAGUAGUUUUU
rnacentral:lncRNA from 1 species